GGCAGCCGCUCCCCCCGCUCCGGGCUGCCGCGCCCCCCGCUCCGGGCAGCCGCUCCCCCAGCUCCCGGCUGCCGCUCCCCGUCCCUGGCCCUUCAGCGGAGCCGCGGGCAGCCGUACCCCCCCUCGUAGCGGAGCCGCUGUCCUGGAGCCGAGCCGGCCCGCGGGUGACGCGGUGAGCCCCGCGGCGGGGUGCGGGGAGGCGCACAGUCUGGGCCCGACUAGGAUAAGGAGGAGACCAAAGAGCCUGUCCGGUGAGAAGACUAAACAGCUUUGUUAUGAAACCAUCCUUUGAAAGCUCCCUGGGCCCAACAAACACACCACUGCUGCUGAGACUCUAAUUAUAUAUGGCUGCCCACAGGAGUUUUUCUCAGAAAUGCUGAGGAAAAUCACAAUCUUUCAGCCUGUUGCAGGAACAAAAAGGUGGGCACUCAGCAUUGAUGAUGCGUUGAAAAGUGAUGGAAAUUCAAGACAACCAGCUGCUGAGAGGCAGAGCUUCCAACAGUGCAAUAUAUCACCAGGAGGAUUCAGUGUCUAUGGUGAACAUAUCAGUGUGGAUGCCACCAGAUUUUCACUUGAAGAUGAAAGCCACUCAAAAUCCAAAGGAGCCAAAGGGUGCAGAGGAUGAGGCUACUACUUGAAGGCAAGUGAGAGUAAGAAGAGGUUUCCUUUUAUGCUGAAAGACUCUCUAACCUUGUCUUUGCAAUGGCACAUGAAAAGAUUAAUGGAAGUCAGAUGGCCCUGACUUGUGUUUUGCUGUUCUUGGAAAGCCUAGUCAUAAAUCUCUUUGACUGGGUAAAAAUAAUAAUAAAAAUAAUCCAUUGGCAAAUGUUACUCAUGUCAAUACGAAAGAAACUAAAUAUGAAGAGAGUCCACCUCCCAAGAAGACAUUUUUUAUAAAGAAAUAAACCAAUCUUCCAAUAGAAAUUAGCUUUUCCAGAAGAGAAGGGUAGGACAACAGGAGAAGGAAAAAUGCCAUCACAAAAAUGUUUUGCCCAAGAUGAAUUUGCAAAUAAUUUACAUAAACAUACCAAUUUAUGCAAAUAAUGUGGUUUCAGUCAUGGUGGUCUCAGUUAUGAAGACCAUGGGAUGUCAGGCAAAUUACUCAAAUAUAGCUUCUGUUGUGGUGAAGACUUGUUACUGAAGCACUCUAAGUCCAUGGUUUCAGACUUAAUAGACUCCUAUAUAAAAAACUUACACCAAGCUCUUGACUAAUUCAGAUUUUUCUUCUUCAGUGAAGCCAACUCUGUUCACCCUAGGCAGUCAUAAGGCUGCAGAAAUUGUCCAAGCAAUGUCGAAUCAUUUUCAUUCUACCUUGAUAGUUCAAAAACCUGGAGGAGACAACAUCUAGCAUAUGCCUUUGUGAAAAGAGGUUCAAGAACAGAUGCAAUGGCUUAUAAUUGAGGUCUGAAGCAACAAGGACUGAAACAUUGCAAAAAGAAAAAGAAAUGACCUGAGCAGAUACAGUGAGUAACCACAUUAUUAAGCAAGGGUUUACCCUCUGGCAUGAAAACCAAAACCAAUGCAUCCAAUGUUCAAAAUCACAACCCAGAAGGGAACUGAAACAAGAUUACCAAAAAACACACCCUGGAGUUCAGAAAUUUGGUAUGUAGCCAAAAUGCUACCAGAUUCAUCGGCUUGAUUGUGAUUUCAUUAUUGCCCAUGGAUUGUCAGCUAGUCUAGCAGAAGAAUGCCAACAAGAAAGCAACAGAAAGUGGCCAUGCUAGUAAAGCAGGUCCCACUGCAUUUGGGUUACGAUUAUGCAGGUCCCAUGAUCCCACCUGAAACGUUUUCAGAAAGAUGUCAGGAUGUAUCAAAAGAAGCUGAAGAACCCGGUUCACAGGUGUCAGACAGUGAAAAGCAGAAACCCCAAAAUGACAUGUCCAGUGCUACAUUAAUGCUAAGCUGGAAGUUAAUAAACAAAAGUAGAAGAGGAUUUUUUGUUUGCGGAGUAGAAGGACAGCCUGGGCAUCCAGUUAUUGAUGAAACAAACCAAAAUACUGGCAAAACCACUGAGGGAUAUAUCGGCCUUCCAGACACUGAGCAGUCCUGUGAGGAGGCCGUAUCUGGACUGACGAAAAUGCUUCCUGAUCCACCCAAUCUGAGCAGAGAAGACAGCAGCAGCCCACAAUUUAUUGGCAGUCUGGUGGAUACCGUGCUAAAGCUGCAUCUUAUGGCAGUUAAAUUGAGCAACCCCGAGUCACUUCUGGCAGAGACAGGGAGCAGGGAGGGUCAGUGGGCCCUAAGGGCUUGGGAGCUGCUGACUCCGUGGCUGUAUCGAGUAAAGGUACUGUAUCAGAACACAGGGUGGUAGUUGUGAAUCAGAAUCCUUCUGGAAAUGUGUGUAACAGCUCCGAGCCCUCUUGCAGUGGAUGACUGCCUCUCAGGCAGAUGUGCCUGUGCUCUACUUCUCAGGUGGUGAUGAGUUGAAGAAUGAGCAAGGCAGAAAUUAGAACGCGAUUUGACAUAGUUAUUUGGUUGGUUCCCCGAAUGUCAAUGCCUUAUGGGGAACAAACAACUUUUUCUCAAGAAAAUCUUUUCUAGACAUUUCUCCUCUUAAGCUAGUAGCAAUGUGAGCUACUACAAAUCUACUGUCUUGUUCCAAAAUAGCAAACUAACAGGAAGUAAAGAUGUACAGAAAAGUACGUACCUUUAGCUCAGCACAGAUGUGGUACAAAAUGAUCUUAUACGCUGUAUUUCCCACAAAUUCAGUGGAUCUAAUUUUGAAGGUAACAAAUACAUUUGCUUUCAACAUUUAUUAUGUAAAUUAAGAUGUUUACAUUGAGAAAUGUUCUAAUGACA